rnacentral:rRNA from 1 species
AUAAUGGGUCAGCGACUUAUAUUCUGUAGCAAGGUUAACCGAAUAGGGGAGCCGAAGGGAAACCGAGUCUUAACUGGGCGUUAAGUUGCAGGGUAUAGACCCGAAACCCGGUGAUCUAGCCAUGGGCAGGUUGAAGGUUGGGUAACACUAACUGGAGGACCGAACCGACUAAUGUUGAAAAAUUAGCGGAUGACUUGUGGCUGGGGGUGAAAGGCCAAUCAAACCGGGAGAUAGCUGGUUCUCCCCGAAAGCUAUUUAGGUAGCGCCUCGUGAAUUCAUCUCCGGGGGUAGAGCACUGUUUCGGCAAGGGGGUCAUCCCGACUUACCAACCCGAUGCAAACUGCGAAUACCGGAGAAUGUUAUCACGGGAGACACACGGCGGGUGCUAACGUCCGUCGUGAAGAGGGAAACAACCCAGACCGCCAGCUAAGGUCCCAAAGUCAUGGUUAAGUGGGAAACGAUGUGGGAAGGCCCAGACAGCCAGGAUGUUGGCUUAGAAGCAGCCAUCAUUUAAAGAAAGCGUAAUAGCUCACUGGUCGAGUCGGCCUGCGCGGAAGAUGUAACGGGGCUAAACCAUGCACCGAAGCUGCGGCAGCGACGCUGAUGCGUUGUUGGGUAGGGGAGCGUUCUGUAAGCCUGUGAAGGUGUGCUGUGAGGCAUGCUGGAGGUAUCAGAAGUGCGAAUGCUGACAUAAGUAACGAUAAAGCGGGUGAAAAGCCCGCUCGCCGGAAGACCAAGGGUUCCUGUCCAACGUUAAUCGGGGCAGGGUGAGUCGACCCCUAAGGCGAGGCCGAAAGGCGUAGUCGAUGGGAAACAGGUUAAUAUUCCUGUACUUGGUGUUACUGCGAAGGGGGGACGGAGAAGGCUAUGUUGGCCGGGCGACGGUUGUCCCGGUUUAAGCGUGUAGGCUGGUUUUCCAGGCAAAUCCGGAAAAUCAAGGCUGAGGCGUGAUGACGAGGCACUACGGUGCUGAAGCAACAAAUGCCCUGCUUCCAGGAAAAGCCUCUAAGCAUCAGGUAACAUCAAAUCGUACCCCAAACCGACACAGGUGGUCAGGUAGAGAAUACCAAGGCGCUUGAGAGAACUCGGGUGAAGGAACUAGGCAAAAUGGUGCCGUAACUUCGGGAGAAGGCACGCUGAUAUGUAGGUGAAGUCCCUCGCGGAUGGAGCUGAAAUCAGUCGAAGAUACCAGCU